rnacentral:rRNA from 1 species
GAUACCCUGGUAAUCCAAUCCCGUAAACGAUGUGUGUUGACGUGGGAAAUUUAUUUUCAGUGUCGCAGGGAAACGGAUAAACACACCGCCUGGGGAGUACGACCGCAAGGUUAAAACUCAAAUGAAUUGACGGGGACCCGCACAAGUAGUGGAGCAUGUGGUUUAAUUGGAAGAUACGCGCAGAACCUUACCAACACUUGACAUGUUCGUCGCGACUCUAAGAGAUUAGAGUUUUCGGUUCGGCCGGACGAAACACAGGUGCUGCAUGGCUGUCGUCAGCUCGUGUCGUGAGGUGUUGGGUUAAGUCCCGCAACGAGCGCAACCCUCACUUUUAGUUGCCAUCAUUAAGUUGGGCAUUCUGAAAGAACUGCCAGUGAUAAGCUGGAGGAAGGUGGGGAGGACGUCAAGUCCUCAUGGCCCUUACGUGGUGGGCUACACACGUGCUACAAUGGCAUGUACAACAGGAAGCAAAACGGCAACGUUAAGCAAAUCCCGAAAAGAUGCCUCAGUUCGGAUUGCACUCUGCAACUCGAGUGCAUGAAGCUGGAAUUAAUAGUAAUGGUGGAUCAGCGUGCCACGGUGAAUGCGUUCCCGGGUCUUGUACACACCGCCCGUCACACCAUGGGAGUGGGUUCUACCUUAAGGCAAGGUUUUAAACCCUUGACCACGAUAUAGUCAGGGACUGGGGAGAAGUGGUAACAAGGUAGCCGUA